GCUGGGACCCCAGGGAGAAUGGGGGCUGAGUUUUGGGGUGCUGGGAUCCCAGGAGAAUGGGAGCUGGGUUCUGAGGUGCUGGGACCCCAGGAGAAUGGGAGCUGGGUUUUGGGGUGCUGGGAAUCCAGGGAGAAUGGGGGCUGAGUUUUGGGAUAGUGGGACCCCAGAGAAAAUGGGAGCUGGGUUUUGGGGUGCUGGGACCCUAGGGAGAAUGGGAACUGGGUUCCGAGGUGCUGGGAAUUCAGGGAGAAUGGGGGCUGAGUUUUGGGAUAGUGGGACCCCAGGGAGAAUGGGAGGUGGGUUUUGGGGUGCUGGGACCCCAGGGAGAAUGGGAGCUGGGUUUUGGGGUGCUGAGAACCCAAGGAUGAUGGAAGCUGCCUUUUGUGGUGCUGGGACUCCACACGAGGCUGAUGGGACCCCAGGCACGGCGAGAACCCACGGAAGGUGGGAUCUGGGUGUGCUGAGACCCCAAAGGUGGGCACGCGCCACGUUUCUGACCUACGGGGACCCCCCCAGCCCCCCCCAAAUGAAGGGAACCCCCCAACCCGGCCCCGUUCCCCCCGUACUUCUGCAUGGGGCUGAGCUCCACGCGGACGAUGAGCUCCGUUUUGGCCGGCAUGUUCUUGAAGACGUCGGCCUUGAGGCGUCUCAACAUGUGGGGGCCCAGCAGGUCGUGCAGCUUUUUGAUCUGAUCCUCCUUGGAGAUGUCAGCAAAUU
rnacentral:lncRNA from 1 species